rnacentral:rRNA from 1 species
GACAGAGGAUGCAAGUGUUAUCCGGAAUCACUGGGCGUAAAGCGUCUGUAGGUCGUUCAAUAAGUCAACUGUUAAAUCUUGAGGCUCAACUUCAAAAUCGCAGUCGAAACUAUUAAACUAGAGUAUAGUAGGGGUAAAGGGAAUUUCCAGUGGAGCGGUGAAAUGCGUAGAGAUUGGAAAGAACACCAAUGGCGAAAGCACUCUGCUGGGCCGACACUGACACCUGAGAGACGAAAGCUAGGGGAGCGAAUGGG